rnacentral:misc_RNA from 1 species
UGACUGUGUCUGCAGAUAUGAACCGGCUAGCUGAGAGCUUCUUAUCAAGUUAAAGUCAUCAGUAUAUCGUCAUUUUAAUUUUGUGCUAAGAAAUCAACAGGCAACUGUUGUGCAGAACAACAAAAAACCUGUGACAUGACCUUUAAGAUUGAUGUGCCAAUUCACCUUGACGUGGUUGGAUCCAUGGAGAGCCUGGCAUGAGUUCAAUACUUUCAAUACGAAGGCAAAAUAAAUGGAAGAAAAAACAACAACAGUCCAGUAGUCCUUGCUUCC